CCUACGGGGGGCAGCAGUGGGGAAUAUUGCACAAUGGGCGAAACCCUGAUCCAGCGACGCCGCGUGAGUGAAGAAGUAUCUCGGUAUGUAAAGCUCUAUCAGCAGGGAAGAAAAUGACGGUACCUGACUAAGAAGCCCCGGCUAACUACGUGCAAGCAGCCGCGGUAAUACGUCGGGGGCAAGCGUUAUCCGGAUUUACUGGGUGUAAAGGGAGCGUAGACGGCGCUGCAAGUCCGGAGUGAAAGCCCAGGGCUUAACCCUGGUACUGCUGUGGAAACUGUGGAGCUUGAGUGCGGGAGGGGCAGGCGGAAUUCGUAGUGUAGCGGUGAAAUGCGUAGAUAUUAGGAGGAACACCGGCGGCGAAGGCGGCGUGCUGGACCGUAACUGACGUUGAGGCUCGAAAGCGUGGGUAGCAAACAGGAUUAGAUACCCUGGUAGUC
rnacentral:rRNA from 1 species